UAUUGGACUUGGAAGUGUUGUUUUUAUGCCCCACCUACGAUAGUAGAGGGGCAUUAUGUUUUCUGGUCUGUGCGUCCGUUCGUUCGUUCGUCCGUCCGUCUGUUCGUUCGUUCGUUCGUUCGUCUGUUCGUUCGUCCGUCUGUCCCGCUUCAGGUUAAAGUUUUUGGUCAAGGUAGUUUUUGAUGAAGUUGAAGUCCAAUCAACUUGAAACUUAGUACACAUGUUCCUUAUGAUAUGAUCUUUCUAAUUUUAAAGCCAAAUUAAACUUUUGACCCCAAUUUCACGGUCCACUGAACAUAGAAAAUGAAAGUGCAUGUUUCAGGUUAAAGUUUUUGGUCAAGGUAGUUUUUGAUGAAGUUGAAGUCCAAUCAACUU
rnacentral:lncRNA from 1 species